rnacentral:rRNA from 1 species
UACGUAGGGGGGCAAGCGUUGUCCGGAAUCAUUGGGCGUAAAGCGCGUGUAGGCGGUCCGGUAAGUCGGCUGUGAAAGUCCAGGGCUCAACCCCUGGGGAUGCCGGUCGAUACUGCCGGACUAGAGUUCGGAAGAGGCGAGUGGAAUUCCCCGGUGUAGCGGUGAAAUGCGCAGAUAUCGGGAGGAACACCAAUGGCGAAGGCAGCUCGCUGGGACGUUACUGACGCUGAGACGCGAAAGCGUGGGGAGCAAACAGG